rnacentral:rRNA from 1 species
AUACGUAGGGGGCGAGCGUUGUCCGGAAUUAUUGGGCGUAAAGGGUUCGCAGGCGGUCUGAUAAGUCAGAUGUGAAAGGCAAUGGCUCGACCAUUGUAAGCAUUUGAAACUGUCAGACUUGGGUUAAGGAGAGGAAAGUGGAAUUCCUAGUGUAGCGGUGAAAUGCGUAGAUAUUAGGAGGAAUACCAGUGGCGAAGGCGACUUUCGGGACUUAUACUGACGCUGAGGAACGAAAGCGUGGGGAGCAAACAGGAUUAGAUCCCCUGGUAGUCCACGCCGUAAACGAUGAGUGCUAGGUGUUGGGGGUCAAACCUCGGUGCCGCAGCUAACGCAUUAAGCACUCCGCCUGGGGAGUACGUACGCAAGUAUGAAACUCAAAGGAAUUGACGGGG